AGGCAGGAUGUGGAGAGCAGCCCUUGCUACUCUAACUGCUGGUGCUUCAGGUGACCAAGGUGGCUCAUUGGAUUUAGAAGAUUUCACAAAGCACUAAGUGCAAGAGCUGGAUUUGGCAGGGUAUCUGUGGCAACAGGACUUCUACCAAACACACUAUACGAAUAUCUCAAGCUUCUGCAUUACCUUGCAGUACCUGCAGUGGAUGGAGGCCAGGGAUGACAAUACCAGCGGCUCUCAGUGCAGAACCCGACAGAUCCAAUGCUACUGGGACUCUGAGCUCUCCAUGCCCAGUUCAGUCAUACAAUGGGAACAUAAAUAAUGAGAACUGAAGUGGAAUUCACACACGUAGCAAACUGAGAUUAGUCACAGAGAUACUUAGGACAGCAAAGACAAUAAAAGCAGUACUU